rnacentral:sRNA from 1 species
AAAAGACACCAUAAUUUGUAAAAACAAAAAGAAAAGAGAUGAUGAAAUUGCCUCAGCUCAGUUCAGGUCUCCAUAAUUUCUCCGCAUGAUAAAAUCUCGGAAGAACGAAAGUUAUGAUUUGAUCAUCAUCGGAGGCA